UCGAGCCCCUCACUAGCCUAGCCCAUUAUCCAUGGCUGAAGCAUUUUAUAACUGAUGAAAACAUCUUCCGCUGCUCCACGUAUCAUCAAAACAUUCUUACGGGUUCAAGAGUGAAAUAUAAACUACAGCCCGUCAUCAUAUGUAGUUUCAAAUUUCAAUGAAGUCGCACCCUCUGCAUAGCCAAGAACAUAAUCAACAGACAUUCGAGAAAUAAUGUUGCCCAUGUCAACUGCCUCGUUUAAUAUUUGCAUGAGACAGGGUUUACACAAAUAUAUAUUUGCACUUAUGUGAUAUUCAAGUAAAGUUGUAUACAUAAAUUAAAAGGAUCAAUUGUAAAGGAAAUCCA